GGGGCAGAGGGAAUUUCCGGUGUAGCGGUGAAAUGCGUAGAUAUCGGGAAGAACACCAGUGGCGAAAGCGCUCUGCUGGACCAUUACUGACGCUCAUGGACGAAAGCCAGGGGAGCGAAAGGGAUUAGAUACCCCUGUAGUCCUGGCCGUAAACGAUGAACACUAGAUGUUGGGGGAAUCGACCCCCUCGGUGUCGUAGCUAACGCGUUAAGUGUUCCGCCUGGGGAGUACGCACGCAAGUGUGAAACUCAAAGGAAUUGACGGGGGCCCGCACAAGCGGUGGAGUAUGUGGUUUAAUUCGAUGCAACGCGAAGAACCUUACCAAGGCUUGACAUCCUGCGAAUCUCCGAGAAAUUGGAGAGUGCCUUCGGGAACGCAGUGACAGGUGGUGCAUGGCUGUCGUCAGCUCGUGUCGUGAGAUGUUGGGUUAAGUCCCGCAACGAGCGCAACCCACGUUUUUAGUUGCCAGCAUUCAGUUGGGCACUCUAGAAAGACUGCCGGUGACAAACCGGAGGAAGGUGUGGACGACGUCAAGUCAUCAUGCCCCUUACGCCUUGGGCUACACACGUACUACAAUGCUGCGGACAAAGAGUAGCGAUCUUGCGAAAGUUAGCUAAUCUCGUAAACCGUGGCUCAGUUCAGAUCGUAGGCUGCAACUCGCCUACGUGAAGGAGGAAUCGCUAGUAAUCGCAGGUCAGCAUACUGCGGUGAAUACGUUCCCGGGCCUUGUACACACCGCCC
rnacentral:rRNA from 1 species